rnacentral:lncRNA from 1 species
GCAGGGACAGUGCCACCCCUGGGGACAGGCAGGGCAGGGACAGUGCCACCCCUGGGGACAGCACAGCUGGUGGCAGUGCCACUGUCCCAAUCAAGGACAGCACAGCCAGGGCCAGUGCCACCCCUGGGGACAGGCCAGGCAGUGCCACCCCUGGGGACAGGCAGAUCAGGGCCAGUGCCACCCCUGGGGACAGGCCAGGCAGGAGCAGUGCCACCCCUGGGGACAGGCUGGGCAGUGCCACCAUCUCCAGCAGGGACAGGCCACCCAGAGACAGUGGCACCACUGGGGACAGGAGCAGUGGCAGUGGGGACAGGAGCAGUGGCAGUGCCACCGUCUCCAGCAGGGACAGGCCACCCAGGGCCAGUGGCACUGGGGACAGGAGCAGUGGCAGUGCCAUUGUCUCCGUCAGGGACAGGCCACCCAGAGACAGUGACAGUGGGGAAAGGAGCAGUGACACCACAGGGGACAGGCCUGGCAGUGCCACCACUGGGGACAGGCCUGGCAGUGCCACCGUCCCUGUCAGGGACAGGCCACACAGGCCCAGUGGCAGUGGGGACAGGAGCAGUGGCAGUGCCACUGUGCCCAGCAGGGACAGGCCACCCAGGCCCAGUGACUUUGGGGACAGGAGCAGUGGCACCACUGGGGACAGGCCUGGCAGUGCCACCACUGGGGACAGGCCUGGCAGUGCCACCAGCCCUGUCAGGGACCGAUCACACAGGCCUAGUGACUUUGGGGACAGACUGGGCAGUGCCACCGUGCCCAGCAAGGACAGGCCACACAGGCC